GAGCAAUACAAAUUGUUAACUUUUCACAAAAAAAAAUUACAUCAGAAAUUGAAAAUUCACAUUUUUUGACUUUGCACGCGUAAAAUUUAGCCAAAUGGUGUUAAAUAGAUAUAUAGAGGCGUUGCCAAUGAUAGGAGGAUAAGAAUAUUUCCCUAGUAGGUCAGGAUGAAUCUAACUCCCUAAGAGAUGUAAUAUAUCACCUUUUAAAAUAGUACUUACCCGCUGCUAGCUCAGCUCUUACAACACCAAUAUGUAUAAAUUUAAACAGAUUUAGUCGAGUUUACCUUGUAUUAAUUCGAACCGCACGCGAAAUAAGAACACACGAUAAACACGAACAGUGUAUUAUAAUUUAAGUAAUAAAUUACAACACGAUACUUAAGUCUAAAAUAUAUAAAAAACUCUACGCGUAUAACCAAUAUAUAUUCCACCGAAUAGUGGCGUAAGUAGGAUCGCUUUUACCCACCUACGUGUAACUAUCAAAUUGCCCGCGUUGGGUAGCGAAUUUAGAAGACUUAAGUUUAAACGCGAAUACUCUCCCUUAAACACGAACGUUAAGGCAGAGGACCUGGGACUCAAGCACAACUCUUACGUAGGAGUGAGUGGCCUUAUUACUUUUCCGCGGUCAGACCUACCAGACGAAGCGCGAAUCGACAAGUGAAGAUCAAUUCCAUCUCAACUUGGCUUCUAGCCUCGAGUCGAGAAGGAAUUAAGCUUUACGAACUUGUGAGCUUUUCACAUCUGCCCUUAAUGGAACGAUGUGAAAACACCUCUUGGGUGGUUCCCACGUACUUAACACCUUACCUAAGUGCAUCGAGUAUAUGCUUUCAUCUACGUAAAGUACUGUAGAAUCGAACUAUUGAUUGGAUUCUCCAGUACUUCCUUUAGAUGAAAGAUUUAUAAUCCCACUGAGAGAGAUACGAUGAAUAUCCCUGUCUAGCCAGUGAAGGCAUAUUGUCCCCUUACAUUUGCCCCUAACGUGGGUUUACUUCUAAAGUAUCCCCUGAGGAAAUGUAGAGGAAAGCACGGAAAUUUUGAAAAAAGGUGACAUAGUGCUUCACUGGAUGUGACCCUAUUGCCCCCCGUACUUUGCUUGAGUGAUGCGGGGAAUAGUAAUCCCAAAAUAAAUUUUGAAACUCUUUGGUUUUUAUUAUAAUUCCAAAAGUGAGGUGGAUUUUGAGUGUGCUGGUGAGUUGACUCUUAUUGAUAAGGAGUAACUACAAUUGACCAUCAAUAUUUGACCGAAGUCAAGAUAUCAAUAAAUCAAUCCAGAAGCUACCUUUGAUCUGGUCACUCCGCAGCAGGGUCAUGGCCGAAAUGGUAAGUAUUUAAGUACGAUUUAAUUUUUGAGGGGGAGGGUUAAUCUAAAAGGUACCCUUCCUCAAUUUUAUGAUUUCAGGAGAAGAUGAAAAAAAGCUCAAGAAGUUCGUGGUUGUUUGGCUUUGUUGUCUUUGGAUAGUCUGACCAAGAAUUUUUGAAGAAAAAAUUGCUGGUGUAUUUUGGUCAACGACGAUGGCAAGAGAAUUACUUUGUUUAUCAAAAACUAAAGAUAAGUACAAAAACAUAUUUACAUUUUUAUUAAAUAAUGUAAAAUUUAAGAGCAUUUUUGUUUCUUAGGAUUAAUCAGUCUAAUUUAAACACAUGAUCGAUUUAAAAUAUCUGUACAUUUUUUAUUUCUAAAAAAAUUUUAAAGUUAUGAAAUAAAUUAAAAAUAAAAAAUGUUGUUUUUGUUUAGGACCAGUUCAGAGAAAGAUGGGUGAAACUUAAAAUAGGAUUGAGCCAAAGUUGAACCAGUCUGUUGGGAUAUUUUUCGUAUUUACAAUAAGUAAGAAGGCAAAGAAGAUUUCCUUAACUAAUAAUGCACAGAUCCUUUUUCUUGGCUCAUGGACUUCUUUUCCAGGAAGACAAAGAUAGCUAGAUUUUUGAAAGGAAUGUUAUCCGUCUACGGUCUGAGUCAACAUGGCCUUCUGUGCCCUGAAUGUGAUAUCUUUGUUAAAAAAUUAAAAAAAAUUAAAAAAAAGAAUUUUAAAAAAAAAUAAAAUUAAAAUUUUUGUAAAUUUUUGGAGAAAAAAAAAAUUUUUUGAAUUUGAAUUUUUUGAUUCUGUAAACGUAUUUUACGUUAAUAUAAGUUUGUAAAAAAUAAAAAAAAAAUAAUUGUAAACAUUCAAAAAAUAAAUUGAAUUUAUUUUAAGUUUGUAAAAAAAAAUUUUACAUACAUGUAUUAUUGUAUCGUAGUUUUAGAGUACAAAUUUUGUAUGUUUGUAAAAAAAAAAAAAAAAUAAAAAAAAUAUUUUGU